rnacentral:rRNA from 1 species
UGGGGAAUAUUGGGCAAUGGGCGCAAGCCUGACCCAGCAACGCCGCGUGAAGGAAGAAGGCUUUCGGGUUGUAAACUUCUUUUCUGGGGGACGAAGAAAGUGACGGUACCCCAGGAAUAAGCCACGGCUAACUACGUGCCAGCAGCCGCGGUAAUACGUAGGUGGCAAGCGUUAUCCGGAUUUAUUGGGUGUAAAGGGCGUGUAGGCGGGAGUGCAAGUCAGAUGUGAAAACUAUGGGCUCAACCCAUAGCCUGCAUUUGAAACUGUAUUUCUUGAGUGCUGGAGAGGCAAUCGGAAUCCCGUGUGUAGCGGUGAAAUGCGUAGAUAUACGGAGGAACACCAGUGGCGAAGGCGGAUUGCUGGACAGUAACUGACGCUGAGGCGCGAAAGCGUGGGGAGCAAACAGGAUUAGAUACC